GUAGGUGAACCUGCGGAAGGAUCAUUACAAGUCGGUUGGGGGGGGUGGUGGGGAGGUUGGAGUUGAAGGUUGAGAGUUGGGAGUUGGGAGUUGGAGGUUGAAGGCUGGGGGCUCCUAGUGAGGAUUGGAUUCUCAGUAGGAGUCUUCGGUCUCCAAUCUCCGGUCUCUAUUCUCCGGUCUCUAGUCUCUAGUCUCCAGUCUCUCCACUGCGCCCCCGACACAUUAGCUCAAGGUCGCAAGGCCUUGAUGU
rnacentral:misc_RNA from 1 species